CAUCCUGUAAGUGCAAGCCGUGAUGUGAGACAGUUUGCAGAGAAAAGAAAUAAAUAGAUAUAGUUUGCAUGGAUGCAGAGCCAAUUAGUAUUUCAAAAGGGAAAAAGUAAAAAUAAGGGAAAACGAAGUUUUUAUGUCAAUAAUGAUAGAAAUAUUUGCAAUGAUUAGCUUCUACAGCAUGGAACCUUUGCUCCAUGCAUCUAAAAUGUAAAUAACUAGAUACAUGUAAUUAAAUUGUUAACUUUUUAUCAAUUAAUUUUGAAAAGACAAAAAAUAAAGACAG